AGCAGGUCAUGAAGAACUCCAGGGAGCAUCUGAGCCACCACUUCUUCUGAGAAACCAGAGCCAGCCCCGCCCCCUCCACUGGUCUGCUAACAGGGACCUCAGUGUCUGAGCUUCUCCCUGUGAGCUGCUUGGUGCACAGGAUGCCACUCCUGGAAGCAGUCAUCUUCAUCUCCCUCUGGGCUUUUGGCCUUGGGCAGUUACAGUUGGAGCAACCUAAAAUAUCGAUUUCUUCAGCCAUGGGUGAGAGUGUCCAGAUACCUUGUAAGGUGUCCUCUAGCACCUUUAGCAGAGAUCACAUUCACUGGUACCGGCAGAAACCAGAUCAGAGUAUAGAAUAUUUAAUAUACGUUGACAACAGAGCCACUGUUUUUGGAGAGAACAGCAAACUUAAGGCAAGUAAAUAUUCUUCAAUUUCAACUUCCACCUUGACAAUAAAUUUCUUAGAGAAAGAAGAUGAAGCCGUGUACUUCUGUGCCUGCUGGACUGGCAGACACAGCGUUAGAGUUGCCAGGAUCAGCUGCACAAGAACCAUCUUCAGGUCUGUGCCCACCCACAUCCUUCUCAAAAUGUGCCACCACAGAGGCUGCACAGCUGGCACCAGCCUAAGCCUCCCUCCUCAUGGAAAUUAA